AACCAGCACCUCAAGUGGUCAGGAUGAUUAUUGGGCCUAAAGCAUCCGUAGCCGGCUCUGUAAGUUUUCGGUUAAAUCUGUACGCUCAACGUACAGGCUGCCGGGAAUACUGCAGAACUAGGGAGUGGGAGAGGUAGACGGUACUCGGUAGGAAGUGGUAAAAUGCUUUGAUCUAUCGAUGACCACCUGUGGCGAAGGCGGUCUACCAGAACACGUUCGACGGUGAGGGAUGAAAGCUGGGGGAGCAAACCGG
rnacentral:rRNA from 1 species